rnacentral:rRNA from 1 species
AUUGAACGCUGGCGGCAGGCCUAACACAUGCAAGUCGAACGAGUGGCGGACGGGUGAGUAAUGUCUGGGCCACUGCCCGAUGGAGGGGGAUCACUACUGGAAACGGUAGCUAAUUCCGCCUACCAUCGGAUGUGCCCAGGUGGGAUUAGCGAGUGGGUGGGGUAAUGGCUCACCUAGGCGACGAUCCCUAGCUGGUCUGAGAGGAUGACCAGCCACACUGGAACUGAGACACGGUCCAGACUCCUACGGGAGGCAGCAGUGGGGAAUAUUGCACAAUGGGCGAAAGCCUGAUGCAGCCAUGCCGCGUGUAUGAAGAAGGUCUUCGGAUUGUAAAGUACUUUAAGCGGGGAGGCGUUACUCGCAGAAGAAGCACCGGCUAACUCCGUGCCAGCAGCCGCGGUAAUAC